rnacentral:lncRNA from 1 species
AAGGUAUUUCAUGUGACAUCACAUCACACCAAGGAGACAUGACAGUGGGGACGUGACCACAGCACUAAUCUCACCACACAUCACACCCUCAGAAGCAUCCAGUCCAGAGUAAUGGGACAGCCUGCAAAGAUGCAUCUUCUGCGUCAGCUCAGAGACUUGCGAAGUUACCACAGGAAACUUCUGCGUGAGUCUGAACACAGGCAUGGGAGAGAAAAUUCAGGCUUUGAGCUGGAGGUUAUCCCUGAAUCUGAAGAUAGGCUUCAAGAGUUGUUCGUCAAGAGGAGUGAAUCACAGGCAAGGAGUUUACCGCAUCAGACCAGAUGUGAUUUCUAUUAAAUACACUCUCAGUUGAAUCUUGGCAGGGAAGCUUUUGGAUGGUCUAUACAUUUGUAAUUUAAUUUAACACAGUGAUUAUUCUUAUGUAUGUAUGUUAACGCUUUCAUGUGUGGCUCUAAAAUAAUGCAUGUUUUAUGUUUUCCUGAAUACUUUGAUUUAAAUGAGAAAAUCCAAGCACCCAGCUCUCACUAAUAGACAUGAAAAGAUA